UGCCCUCCUCGGCCUCCCGAAGUGCUGGAAUUACAGGCACGAGCCAUCGUGCCCUGCCGGCCCCACUUCUUAAUACCCUCACGUUGGGGAUUAAGUUUCAACAUAUGACUUUUUCAGACACAUAAAUAGACCACAGCACAUGUUUUCAGACUUUCUUAUGCAAAUGUAAGCUUUAUAAAAAAUAAAUGACUAUCCCCCUUUUAUAGGCAGAAGAUGGCAUUUCUUACACACGCUUCCUCACUUUUAUUUUCCUCGUGUGCAGAUCUUUGUAUUACAUAUCUUUCUGCAUUAACUCUCACCCCUUCUCAUGACUGGCUUGUCACCACUGCAGGGGUGCACCCUGAUUUAUUCAAGUAGCCUGUCAAUGGGCACUUGUGUUGUUUCUAAUCCUUUGCUGUUAUGAACAAUUCUGCAAUGGAUAACCUGAACCCACUCCAUCUCAUACGUGUGAAAGCGUAUCUGAGAAAAUCUCUAGAAGUGGAAGAACUAGUUCAAUGAGCCCUACAUUUGUUCAAAGCAUACACACAUGCCCCUACUGAAAGUUGCCAAGAUUAGUUCUGUUCCUUGCAAUCAAACCAUCACUGGAUGAAACAGUUUACUUAACCUAAUGUAGCGCUAAUUCUUGACUCUUAUUCUGCACUUAGAUAACUAAAACAUCCAAGUCUUUUCACAUGAACUGCUGUGAAACUGACUGUGGAUAGACUUGUUUUUAAGUUUGGUUAUUCACCCAUUCAUUCAACAGCAUUGUGUUAAGCAACUAUGAUGUGUGAAUGUACUUAUGGUUUUAGUAUUUAUUUGCCUGUGAGCCGUUGCUUCUUGCUGCUGACAAGGACAUUGUCUCUAUUAAUCUUCCUUUUCUAUUUAUGUACAGCAGUGGAAUGAAAAACAAGCAGGUCACCAAAUACCAAGUUCAUAAGCAGUGAUGGUAAAAUUGAAGUGCGUAAGCUCUGAGCCUGGGCAACAGGGUUGAUGCUGCCAUCAAGUGCAUAAGGUUCACCAUUUCUAUUUUGGGUGUGCCACAUAUGUUAGUUUUGGUAGUUAUAACCAAAUUUCCUUCAAGACAGUUGUACCAAUUGAGUCUCACACCAGCCAUUUAUGAGGAUGUCUCUUUCACCAGAGCAUCGCAAAAAGAGGACGGAUUACUGAACUUUUUGAUUUUGUCAAUCUCGAAGGCGCAAAAUGCCUUCUCCAUGUAGUUUUAAUAUUCCUUUCUCACAUCAUAAAUAAAGUGCAACAUUUUUAUUUGUUUAAGAACCAUUCAUAUUUCCUUUUCUGAUACAUGUUUCAAUUAUAUGUUUAUUUCUAGUUUCUCUGGCCCAACAGCAAACAACUGCAAUUAUUUCAAAAUGCGUAUUUCUAAUUUUUUAUUAUUUUAAUUUUUGGACUUUUGAAUAAGUAACCUCUUGUUCAAAAUUCAAAAGAUGGAGAAUGACACACAAUGGUCUCCUUCACAGACUAUCCUCCAACUACUCACUUACCUUCCCCAGAGGCAGUGUUACCUGGCUAAUAAUCCGAACGGUAUGUUAUAAUUUAUUAUUUUUUAUUCAAUUGGCCUUUAUCGAGAACCCAAGUGAUCGCUACAUGUACUUUUUAAAAAUUGUGGUAAAAUACACAUAGCAUAAAAUUUCCCAUCAUAAUCAUUUUUAAGUCUGCAGUUGAGUAGCAUUAAGCAUAUUGUAUUGAUACUAUUGCAAUCCAUCUUCAGAACUUUAUCUAUUCACAAACUGAAACUCUGUCUUCAUUAAACAUCAACUCCCUAUCACCCCCAUCCCAAAACCCCAGCCCUGGCAACCACGAACCAGCUUCCUGUCUCUCUGAAUUUGACCAUUCUGGGCACCUCAUAUAAGUGGAAUCAUACAAUAUUUGUUCUUUUGUAACUAGCUUAUUUCACUGAGCAUAAUGUCUUCAAGAUUCAUCCAUGUGGCAGCAUGUGUCCGAAGUUCCUUCCUUUUUAAGGCUGAAUCAUAUUCCAUUGUAUGAAUACACCAUUGUUGAGAGAGGGGUGCUGAAAUUUCAAAUUAUAAUUAUGGAUUUGUCUAUUGCUCCUUUUAAGUCCAUGAGUUUUUGCUUUACAUAUUUUACAUUUUUGUUGUUUGAUGCAUACACACUUAGAAUUGUUAUAUCUUCUUGCUGGAUUGAUUCUUUUAUCAUUAUAUAAUGCUCCUCUAUGUCUCUGAUAAUUUUUUUCUCUGAUGUCUACUUUAUCUCUCUUCCCAUCCCUUCCUUCUGGACUCACCCUCACUCCAGUGCCCCAGUGCUAGAAAAGAGGAGGUUAUUUGCCUCAUGAACAUGAAGAUGUGGAUGCUGCAUGAUCAGAAGUCUGCCUUGUCCACUUGGCCAAGUUUAUGCCAGUGCCUAGCCAGAAACCCAAGACCUCCCUGAGACAGCACAGCCCGUGAGAAGCCCUGGAUGAGAAGCUGGGGGCUUCGGGAGAUGCGUUCGACCCCGCGCAAGCUCAAUGCACAAUGUUAGGUGAGCAAUUACC
rnacentral:lncRNA from 10 species